UUAUUAUUAUUACGAUUCUUUUGAUUUUAAGAGGAAAAUAUUUAAAACGGUUAUGCAUAUGACAGUUUGAGCAUUCUUUGUAUAAUUUUUCGAUACAAGCUGCUUUAAACAUAUUACAUUAGAAAUUAGCAGGUGAUCAAUUAGAAACACGAUGAAUUAUGUUAUGAAUUUUGUUAUGAAACACACAUAUCUGUGGUCUAUAUAUCGCUGCUAUUUUUCAUUUGUAAAUAUCCGUACAGUGACUGUAAAGUACAAAUACAGGUGCAUUUUAUAUGUGACAUAUAGCGUUGAUGUUUUUUAUUUGUAAAUAUAUGUGCAAUGAUUGUGACGUACAGAUACAAUUGUAUUUCAUCUGUGAUAUAUAUCGUUGUUGUUUUUUAUUUGUACAAUGUGCAAUGUAUUGUAAUGUAUUGUAAUGUAAUGCAGUUUAAGUAUGUGAAUUCAAUAGUUCCUCUUCUACAUGUUGAGAAACGCUAAGUUGGUAUGAUCGCUAGUUCCUAUAAGUUAAGUUGGUACGACUUUUAACGACGCUCUUUUGUCUUAGAAGUCGACCACGUGUUAAUUGCCCAAGCGUAUCCGGUGUGUUCAGACGUUUUGUGCGAGGUGGUGAAAUAUAAAAAGUAAUAUUCAAUCUGUGUGAAUCUAUUGAAUAUUAACCCCAAACCUAUAUUUAAUAACACUACACUAGGUUGCUAUAUUAUACCGAUAAAUACUAACAAUUCGGUUACGUUGAAUCUUGGAAAAUAUUAUACGGGACAAUCGGAGUUGAGUCGUUUCGUGUUAUCGCCAAGAACAGCGGCCGCAUGAGAAGUAGAAAGAUCAGAGUUAAAUCAGACUGUGUAAAGUCCCUCGGUUUGAUCACUCGACACGAGAACAUCGCCCCAUUAAAUUGGAAUCGCGAACAGAUACCUACAUAUAUCCGACAUGUGACACAAAAUUUUGAUGAUAAGAAAGACGAGGCGGUGCGGAGGAAACGACGUAGAAGGCGAAACGACGAAUAGCGGGAAAUCGAAAGGGGGACAACUCGGCCAUAAAUCCCACGCUGUAGAGGCAAAUCACUGGCGUGGCAAUAAAACGCACGUGUAUAGUUCCCUCUAUACUAAUCCCAGUAACAGAAUGUUCACAGAUUAUAGUGAGCCACUGUGUAUUUACGUAACAUUCUUUUUUUUAUUUAUAUCCAUAAAAUAUACCAAAAAGUUUGGCUGGAAAAGCGUGAAACACCUACAGCGGUAUAUUUCAAUGAUUAUCAUGGUGCACAAUGGAACACGCUGUGACAAUCAUUAUAUGCACAUUUUGGACUGCAAAAUUUCAAAACCACGAGGCGUAGAUUCAAAAAUGAAACCGGUGCUUAGAGUCUACAGAGUUGGAAGAUAGUGGGAUAUUGAAGCAACGAGGCUGUGAGAAGAGUUUUAUACGAAAAUCCUAAUUUCCAUCCGCCGUGGAGAAACUCAGCGAACGUGAUGUGCUUCCAAGAUUCUGCAAGAUGUAUCGAUAGUAAGCAGUAAAUCAGAUAGUUUUUAGAACAACGUGUCGAGGCAGUAAAUCGACAAAGAAACGAAAUCUUGGAGAUUGUUCUUAUUAAUCAUGUAAAAAUAUUCGAACAGUGCUGUGUGUUGUUUUCUUCAGUGUCAAAUUCAAGAGGUCAUUGCGCCGGAUUUUAUGUGGCUCGAACGAAUACACAUAAUUCUUUACGUCAUUUUCUCAAGAAAUUAUUAUUAUUAGAAAUAUAUAAAUUUUCUCAAGUAAUUUCUUCAAGAAAAGCUCUACAUCUUUUUCUUUUGUAU
rnacentral:lncRNA from 1 species